rnacentral:rRNA from 1 species
UACGGAGGGUGCAAGCGUUAUCCGGAUUUACUGGGUUUAAAGGGUGCGUAGGUGGGUUGGGAAGUCAGUGGUGAAAUACUUUCGCUUAACGAAGGAACUGCCAUUGAUACUAUCAAUCUUGAAUGUAGUGGAGGUAGGCGGAAUGCGUCAUGUAGCGGUGAAAUGUGUAGAGAUCGGGAGGAACACCGGUGGCGAAGGCGGGUCUCUGGGCAAUUCCUGACGCUGAGGCGCGAAAGCGUGGGGAGCAAACGGG